rnacentral:rRNA from 1 species
ACUCAAAGGAAUUGACGGGGACCCGCACAAGCGGUGGAUGAUGUGGAUUAAUUCGAUGCAACGCGAAAAACCUUACCUACCCUUGACAUGGCUGGAAUCCCCGAGAGAUUGAGGAGUGCUCGAAAGAGAACCAGUACACAGGUGCUGCAUGGCUGUCGUCAGCUCGUGUCGUGAGAUGUUGGGUUAAGUCCCGCAACGAGCGCAACCCUUGU